rnacentral:rRNA from 1 species
GAUGAACGCUGGCGGCGUGCCUAAUACAUGCAAGUCGAGCGAACGGACGAGAAGCUUGCUUCUCUGAUGUUAGCGGCGGACGGGUGAGUAACACGUGGAUAACCUACCUAUAAGACUGGGAUAACUUCGGGAAACCGGAGCUAAUACCGGAUAAUAUUUUGAACAGCAUGGUUCAAAAGUGAAAGACGGUCUUGCUGUCACUUAUAGAUGGAUCCGCGCUGCAUUAGCUAGUUGGUAAGGUAACGGCUUACCAAGGCAACGAUGCAUAGCCGACCUGAGAGGGUGAUCGGCCACACUGGAACUGAGACACGGUCCAGACUCCUACGGGAGGAAGCAGUAGGGAAUCUUCCGCAAUGGGCGAAAGCCUGACGGAGCAACGCCGCGUGAGUGAUGAAGGUCUUCGGAUCGUAAAACUCUGUUAUUAGGGAAGAACAUAUGUGUAAGUAACUGUGCACAUCUUGACGGUACCUAAUCAGAAAGCCACGGCUAACUACGUG